rnacentral:rRNA from 1 species
CAGUAGCCGCGGGAAUACGUAGGUGGCAAGCGUUGUCCGGAAUUAUUGGGCGUAAAGCGCGCGCAGGCGGAUCAGUUAGUCUGUCUUAAAAGUUCGGGGCUUAACCCCGUGAUGGGAUGGAAACUGCUGAUCUAGAGUAUCGGAGAGGAAAGUGGAAUUCCUAGUGUAGCGGUGAAAUGCGUAGAUAUUAGGAAGAACACCAGUGGCGAAGGCGACUUUCUGGACGAAAACUGACGCUGAGGCGCGAAAGCCAGGGGAGCGAACGGGAUUAGAUACCCCGGUAGUCCCUGUCUCUUAUACA